rfam:Canis lupus familiaris chromosome 4, whole genome shotgun sequence.
CCAAUUGCGCAGUGGCAGUAUCGUAGCCAGUGAGGUUUAUCCGAGGCGCGAUUAUUGCUAAUUGAAAACUUUUCUCCCAAACGUGUCUGGUAUUCAGUGGGAGGGGAUGGCUUGGCUAUUUGGAGGGCAACCCCGGGGUG